UCUGGGAUUAGAUACCCCACUAUAAUUUACAAAACAAUCUUAAACACCAGAGCAGUAUAGUAUUAAACCGAAACUCAAAGAACUUGGCGGUUUUCUAAACCUACUUGGAGGAGCUUGUUAUCCAAUCGAUACCCCACGAGAAACCUCACCAAUUUUAGAAAAAUUCAGCCUGUAUAUUUUCGUCGCCAGCUAACCUUUAAGAACGUCAGCUAAAAGAAAACUUUCCAAACGUCAGAUCAAGAUGCAGCCAAUAAAUUGGGGAUUAAUGAGCUACUUUACUUUAUAAUAGAGGAAUCUAUAAUGAAAAAAAGACAAAAAAGGAUUCAACAGUAAUUUUUUAAAGAUAAAAU
rnacentral:rRNA from 1 species